GGACUCGAGAGCGUUUAUAUAAGCCUACAGCUUUCGAUGCAAUCGAGCUAAAAUAAAUAGGUUUAAACUAAAGGUUAUUGUAACAAAAUUGAUGUGAAAAUAAAUUAUAUACAUUUAGAAGAGGAUCAUUCUGUAAUUGUUGUUUAAUUGUUCUGUUCAAAGGUUUGGAGGAUGGAAUUGUGUUGGGGGACAGUGCCUACCCAUGCAGGAAGUUUCUCAUGACACCUUACCUGCAUCCUGGAUCCCCACAGCAACAGAUGUUCAAUGACGCACAUGCAAAGACAAGAAAUGUUAUCGAAAGAGCAUUCGGUGUACUGAAGCGGAGGUUUCAUGUCCUUCAUGGAGAGAUGAAGACGGACGGACAUUGCAAGGCACCAUGGGUGACUUGAUCUAUGUAUGGCGUAAUAGUAUUCAGAAUGAUGUACGGACAUAGACAAAACAAGUCUUAAAAAUGUGUGUUCAUUUACAUCUGAUAAAGACAAAACAAGUCUAUAAAAUGUGUGUUCAUUUACAUCUGAUAAAGACAAAACAAGUCUAUAAAAUGUGUGU